CCCUUAGAUGUCCUGGGCCGCACGCGCGCUACACUGAUGCAUUCAACGAGUUUUACCUUGGCCGAGAGGCCUGGGCAAUCUUUUAAACCUGCAUCGUGAUAGGGAUAGAUUAUUGCAAUUAUUAAUCUUGAACGAGGAAUUCCUAGUAAACGCAGAUCAUCAAUCUGCAUUGAUUACGUCCCUGCCCUUUGUACACACCGCCCGUCGCGCCUACCGAUUGAAUGGUCCGGUGAAGCCUCGGGAUUGUGGCCAGUUCACUUUAUUGGGAGUUGGCUGCGAGAACUUGUCUAAACCUUAUCAUUUAGAGGAAGGUGAAGUCGUAACA
rnacentral:rRNA from 1 species